AGAUUCCCCCAGUAGCGGCGAGCGAACGGGGAGCAGCCCAGAGCCUGAAUCAGUGUGUGUGUUAGUGGAAGCGUCUGGAAAGGCGUGCGAUACAGGGUGACAGCCCCGUACACAAAAAUGCACAUGCUGUGAGCUCGAUGAGUAGGGCGGGACACGUGGUAUCCUGUCUGAAUAUGGGGGGACCAUCCUCCAAGGCUAAAUACUCCUGACUGACCGAUAGUGAACCAGUACCGUGAGGGAAAGGCGAAAAGAACCCCGGCGAGGGGAGUGAAAAAGAACCUGAAACCGUGUACGUACAAGCAGUGGGAGCACGCUUAGGCGUGUGACUGCGUACCUUUUGUAUAAUGGGUCAGCGACUUAUAUUCUGUAGCAAGGUUAACCGAAUAGGGGAGCCGAAGGGAAACCGAGUCUUAACUGGGCGUUAAGUUGCAGGGUAUAGACCCGAAACCCGGUGAUCUAGCCAUGGGCAGGUUGAAGGUUGGGUAACACUAACUGGAGGACCGAACCGACUAAUGUUGAAAAAUUAGCGGAUGACUUGUGGCUGGGGGUGAAAGGCCAAUCAAACCGGGAGAUAGCUGGUUCUCCCCGAAAGCUAUUUAGGUAGCGCCUCGUGAAUUCAUCUCCGGGGGUAGAGCACUGUUUCGGCAAGGGGGUCAUCCCGACUUACCAACCCGAUGCAAACUGCGAAUACCGGAGAAUGUUAUCACGGGAGACACACGGCGGGUGCUAACGUCCGUCGUGAAGAGGGAAACAACCCAGACCGCCAGCUAAGGUCCCAAAGUCAUGGUUAAGUGGGAAACGAUGUGGGAAGGCCCAGACAGCCAGGAUGUUGGCUUAGAAGCAGCCAUCAUUUAAAGAAAGCGUAAUAGCUCACUGGUCGAGUCGGCCUGCGCGGAAGAUGUAACGGGGCUAAACCAUGCACCGAAGCUGCGGCAGCGACGCUGAUGCGUUGUUGGGUAGGGGAGCGUUCUGUAAGCCUGCGAAGGUGUGCUGUGAGGCAUGCUGGAGGUAUCAGAAGUGCGAAUGCUGACAUAAGUAACGAUAAAGCGGGUGAAAAGCCCGCUCGCCGGAAGACCAAGGGUUCCUGUCCAACGUUAAUCGGGGCAGGGUGAGUCGACCCCUAAGGCGAGGCCGAAAGGCGUAGUCGAUGGGAAACAGGUUAAUAUUCCUGUACUUGGUGUUACUGCGAAGGGGGGACGGAGAAGGCUAUGUUGGCCGGGCGACGGUUGUCCCGGUUUAAGCGUGUAGGCUGGUUUUCCAGGCAAAUCCGGAAAAUCAAGGCUGAGGCGUGAUGACGAGGCACUACGGUGCUGAAGCAACAAAUGCCCUGCUUCCAGGAAAAGCCUCUAAGCAUCAGGUAACAUCAAAUCGUACCCCAAACCGACACAGGUGGUCAGGUAGAGAAUACCAAGGCGCUUGAGAGAACUCGGGUGAAGGAACUAGGCAAAAUGGUGCCGUAACUUCGGGAGAAGGCACGCUGAUAUGUAGGUGAAGCGACUUGCUCGUGGAGCUGAAAUCAGUCGAAGAUACCAGCUGGCUGCAACUGUUUAUUAAAAACACAGCACUGUGCAAACACGAAAGUGGACGUAUACGGUGUGACGCCUGCCCGGUGCCGGAAGGUUAAUUGAUGGGGUCAGCGCAAGCGAAGCUCUUGAUCGAAGCCCCGGUAAACGGCGGCCGUAACUAUAACGGUCCUAAGGUAGCGAAAUUCCUUGUCGGGUAAGUUCCGACCUGCACGAAUGGCGUAAUGAUGGCCAGGCUGUCUCCACCCGAGACUCAGUGAAAUUGAACUCGCUGUGAAGAUGCAGUGUACCCGCGGCAAGACGGAAAGACCCCGUGAACCUUUACUAUAGCUUGACACUGAACAUUGAGCCUUGAUGUGUAGGAUAGGUGGGAGGCUUUGAAGUGUGGACGCCAGUCUGCAUGGAGCCGACCUUGAAAUACCACCCUUUAAUGUUUGAUGUUCUAACGUGGACCCGUGAUCCGGGUUGCGGACAGUGUCUGGUGGGUAGUUUGACUGGGGCGGUCUCCUCCUAAAGAGUAACGGAGGAGCACGAAGGUUGGCUAAUCCUGGUCGGACAUCAGGAGGUUAGUGCAAUGGCAUAAGCCAGCUUGACUGCGAGCGUGACGGCGCGAGCAGGUGCGAAAGCAGGUCAUAGUGAUCCGGUGGUUCUGAAUGGAAGGGCCAUCGCUCAACGGAUAAAAGGUACUCCGGGGAUAACAGGCUGAUACCGCCCAAGAGUUCAUAUCGACGGCGGUGUUUGGCACCUCGAUGUCGGCUCAUCACAUCCUGGGGCUGAAGUAGGUCCCAAGGGUAUGGCUGUUCGCCAUUUAAAGUGGUACGCGAGCUGGGUUUAGAACGUCGUGAGACAGUUCGGUCCCUAUCUGCCGUGGGCGCUGGAGAACUGAGGGGGGCUGCUCCUAGUACGAGAGGACCGGAGUGGACGCAUCACUGGUGUUCGGGUUGUCAUGCCAAUGGCACUGCCCGGUAGCUAAAUGCGGAAGAGAUAAGUGCUGAAAGCAUCUAAGCACGAAACUUGCCCCGAGAUGAGUUCUCCCUGACUCCUUGAGAGUCCUGAAGGAACGUUGAAGACGACGACGUUGAUAGGCCGGGUGUGUAAGCGCAGCGAUGCGUUGAGCUAACCGGUACUAAUGAACCGUGAGGCUUAACCUU
rnacentral:rRNA from 1 species